GACCAAUGGGGAGGAAGCCACGCGCAGGGGGCGGGGCCGAAGGAAACAAAGGAGGAGGCGGGGCCGCGCCGGGGCGGGGCUGCGGGGGUCUCGCUGGGGCCGGCCCGGUGAGUCCGCGGCCCAGUCCGUUCAGAAUCUGCUCGGCAGGCUGUGUGCUCAGCCGGAACCCGAAGCUCGUUCUUCUCGUUCUCGGGCAAGCCAAGAGUCGGACUCUGAUUCAUUUCUGCGCACACAACAGAGCCCGGUGCCCUAAGGCGCUCAGCGAAUGCUAAUAGGACAGAUGGAUGAAUGGAUAAAGUCCCAUCUCCUUGUGA